rnacentral:pre_miRNA from 1 species
GAUUUCAAAUGGAAAUAUGGUCAAAAACAAAGUUGAUCCUCUCAUCAGGAUCUACAACUUUUAUUUUGGUCACUUCUUCAUCCGACAAAGUGAUAGUUAUACUAUUCAGAAUAAUCACAUUUCUCUCAUCUGGUUUAUAAAUAUCAACACAGAUAUGUCAAUUUUGUAAACAUUGGUAGUAUCACUUUGUCGGAUGAAGAAGUGACCAAAAUAAAAGUUGUAGAUCUUGAUGGGAGGAUCAACUUUGAUAAAAGAAUAUAUUUCCAUUUGAAAUC